UACAGGGGGUGCAAACGUUGCUCGGAAUUACUGGGCGUAAAGCGAGUGUAGGUGGUUGUCCAAGUUGGAUGUGAAAGCCUUGAGCUCAACUCAAGAAAUGCAUUCAGGACUGGGCGACUAGAGGACCGGAGAGGAUAGUGGAAUUCCCAGUGUAGUGGUGAAAUUCGUAGAUAUUCGCAAGAACACCAGUGGCGAAGGCGGCUCACUGGCCCGAUACUGACGCUGAGGCACGAAAGCGUGGGGAGCAAACAGG
rnacentral:rRNA from 1 species